rnacentral:rRNA from 1 species
CCUACGUGAGGCAGCAGUGGGGAAUAUUGCACAAUGGGGGGAACCCUGAUGCAGCGACGCCGCGUGCAUGAUGACGUAUUUCGGUAUGUAAAGCUCUAUCAGCAGGGAAGAAAAUGACGGUACCUUACUAAGAAUCCCCGUCUAACUCCGUGCCAGCAGCCGCGGUAAUACGGAGGGGGCAAGCGUUAUCCGGAGUUACUGGGUGUAAAGGGAGCGUAGGCGGGUUUGCAAGUCUGAAGUGAAAGGCCAAGGCUCAACCAUGGGACUGCAUUGGAAACUGUAAAACUGGAGUGCGGGAGAGGUAGGCGGAAUUCGUGGUGUAGCGGUGAAAUGCGUAGAUAUGAGGAGGAACAC